rnacentral:rRNA from 1 species
CGCAUCUGUGCAUGCAGCAUAUCAAUAAGCGGAGGAAAAGAAACUAACAAGGAUUCCCUCAGUAACGGCGAGUGAAGCGGGAAGAGCUCAAAUUUGAAAUCUUAAAGGUCUACCUUGCACGAAUUGUAGUUUAAAGAAGUGUUUUCUGCUGACGAUCUGGUAUAUAAGUUCUUUGGAAUAGGACAUCAUCAGAGGGUGAGAAUCCCGUCUAUGAUUACAUAUUUUAGCUUUGUGAUACACUUUCAAAGAGUCGGAUUGUUUGGGAAUGCAGUCCAAAACUGGGAGGUAAAUUUCAUUCUAAGCUAAAUAUUGGCGAGAGACCGAUAGCGAACAAGUACCGUGAGGGAAAGAUGAAAGAACUUUGAAAAGAGAGUUAAAUAGUACGUGAAAUUGUCAAAAGGGAAGCGUUUAACACCAGUGUUGUUUUCUGAAAAUCAACCUCUGUUAGCUUUAUGCAUGUUUGUUUAGACCUAAUCAGCUAUCUUGCAUGUUCUAUUGUUUGCAGUGGUGCACUUUUCAGUUUACAGGUCAACAUCAGUUUUUUUUACCGUAAAAAAGUUAAAGAAAGGUAGCUCAUGGCUCCGGUCGUGAGUGUUAUAGUCUUUUUCCUAUGCGGUAGGAGAGACUGAGGUCUGCAGUGUAGGCUAUUUGGCUAGAUACUCAGGUGCUAUGUGAUACCAUUUCAUAAACAACUUGUUGAUUAUGUUUUGUCUAUUGCAUACUCGCUUGUACUAUCAUACCUACGCUUAGGAUGUGACGAUCAGCUGAGCGCG